rnacentral:rRNA from 1 species
CAGGCCUAACACAUGCAAGUCGAACGGAUGUAGCAAUACAUUAGUGGCGCACGGGUGCGUAACACGUAACUAACCUGCCCAAGACUGGGGGAUAGCCCGCCGAAAGGCGGAUUAAUACCGCAUAAUAUCUACGAGUGGCAUCACUUGUUGAUUAAACCUGAGGGGGUCUUGGAUGGGGUUGCGGGUCAUUAGCUAGUUGGUAAGGUAACGGCUUACCAAGGCGACGAUGACUAGGGGAGCUGAGAGGCUGGUCCCCCACACGGGCACUGAGAUACGGGCCCGACUCCUACGGGAGGCAGCAGUAGGGAAUAUUGGGCAAUGGGCGAGAGCCUGACCCAGCCAUGCCGCGUGCAGGAAGAAGGCUUUCUGAGUCGUAAACUGCUUUUGACAGGGAAGAAUAAGCUGUACGUGUACAGUGAUGACGGUACCUGCAGAAUAAGCACCGGCUAACUCCGUGCCAGCAGCCGCGGUAAU